GGCUUUGAAGUAUUGUUAGGAUACCAUUGCGCUUAUCAAAUCUUGGAUCAAGAUAAGGGAAAGGAACAAGUGUGUUACGGACUCCUUUGUUGGCCGGGUCUACAGAAGGAGAACAAAAGCGGGCCAACAGCAGGAAGUCCAGGCGGCUGAAGCAAAUCAGGCGGAGGAGUAGUUAGGAAGUUGGAUUGUUUCCUUUAUUCUAGAUAUCAGCUUAAGAUUGUUAGGAGUUGGAGAUUUAGUAGGCCUGGAGAUUUGGUUAGUUGGCACCUAUUCUAUAAAGGUAGCCUAGUUUGUAUCUAGGAGGUUUUUAUUGAAGGAAUAGACGUCCCGUGAGGGUUCUGUUCUUCGGUCCUGGCUGGGACAUCAGCCGCCGGCGACCAAGGCAGUCCUCCACGGACCCGUUCUCGCUA